rnacentral:snoRNA from 1 species
UGCGGUGAUGACUCCUUUUGUGCUUAGAGCAAUAUAUCCUUCAGUGGAUCGUUCUGUGUUAGCCUCUGUAUUAGACUACAACGGUAUCUGAGC